CUCACCCAGGGCUUCCUGUAGCUCAGGGGGCAGGCCUGAGCCCUGCGUCCGCCCCCCCCCCCCCCCACCGCCCCCACGGGGCUCCCCAUUCCGAGGGUGUCCCCACCGGGCUCCCACCCAAAAUAAGGAUCUGAACGUUCUAAAUUUUUCUGGAGGGUUCAAGGCGGUUAAA
rfam:Oryctolagus cuniculus chromosome 1, whole genome shotgun sequence.